rfam:Struthio camelus australis contig44132, whole genome shotgun sequence.
CCAAAGGCUCUUUUCAGAGCCACCCACACUUUUCCCAAAAGAGCAG